rnacentral:rRNA from 1 species
UACGUAGGUGGCAAGCGUUGUCCGGAAUUAUUGGGCGUAAAGCGCGCGCAGGCGGCCUCUUAAGUCUGAUGUGAAAAGCCCCCCCGGCUCAACCGGGGGAGGGCCAUUGGAAACUGGGAGGCUUGAGUAUAGGAGAGAAGAGUGGAAUUCCACGUGUAGCGGUGAAAUGCGUAGAGAUGUGGAGGAACACCAGUGGCGAAGGCGACUCUUUGGCCUAUAACUGACGCUGAGGCGCGAAAAGCGUGGGGGAGCAAACAGG